rnacentral:rRNA from 1 species
CCUACGGGAGGCUGCAGUGGGGAAUAUUGGGCAAUGGGGGAGACUCUGACCCAGCAACGCCGCGUGAGUGAUGAAGGUCUUCGGGGUGGAAAGUUCUUUUCUCAGGGAAGAAAAACGUGACGGUACCUUAGGAAUAAGCCUCGGCUAACGACGGACCAGCAGCCACGGUAAUACGUAGGAGGCGGGCGUUAUACGGAAUGACUGGGCGUAAAGGGUGCGUAGGUGGUUUGGCAAGUUAGUAGCGUAACUCCAAGGCUCAACCUUGGAACGACUACUAAAACUGUUGGACUUGAGUGCAGGAGGGGCAACCGGAAUUCGUAGUGUAGCGGUGGAAUGCGUAGAUAUUAGGAGGAACACCAGUGGCGAAGGCGGGUUGCCAGACUGUAACUGACACUGAGGCACGAAAGCGUGGGGAGCAAACAGGAUUAGAUACCCCAGUAGUC